AGUUAUAUUUAUAAUAUUUAAUAAAAAAAUAUUUUAAUACUUUUAAGAUUUAAAUAAAAACCUAACUUAAGAAUACAUAAAUUCUCAAAAUGAUAUAACAGAUAUAAUUUAUGUCUUUUAAAAUAAAGUGCCAGCAAUUGCGGUUACUCUUUAAGCAUAAUUAUUUUACUCCAAAUUAUUCGAAAACUAAAGAAAACUUAAAUAUUUUAAGUAAAAUUUUAUACAAAAACUUUUAUUUAUUUAAAAUAAUUGAAAUUUAAUUUUUAAAAAAGGAUUAGACACCCUUUUAUACUUCUAUAAAUUGGUAGUAUUUCUAAUAUAAACCUUAAUAUUAUGGUGGCAUUUUAUUUUAUUAGAGGAACAUGUUUUAUAAUCGAAGGUACACGAUUAAUUUUACUUAAAUCAAUAUUUUAUAUACCCCCGUCCUGAAUAAAUCUAAAUAUUCUUUUCAAAAAAAAAUUCUAAAAAUUUAGGUAAAGGUGUAAACUAAAUUUAAGAUUAAAUGUGUUACACUAAUAUUAAUUUAAGGAAUUAAUUUAAAAAAAAUUUAUGAAAAAGGAUUUAUAAGUAUUAUUUAAUUAAAAUUUUAAUUUGAAUUAAAAAAUAAAUGUGCACAUAUCGCCCGUCACCCUUACCUUAAGGUAAGGUAAGUCGUAACAUAGUUAAUGUUCUAGAAAGAGCAUUUA
rnacentral:ncRNA from 1 species